AUCAUGAUUUUUACAAAAAGGAAAUUUUCCUGAGCAGCACUCAGCAAUGGAUCCAACGUGGAAGACAUGCCUUUUGCAACAAUCGAACGGUUAUCCUGCUGCUUCUACGCAUACGCUAUGACAAGUCUGGAGAUUGAACCAAAUCGGAAUCAAAAGCCAAAAAGAUUGCGAUAAAAAAACAGCUGCCGUCUAUUCUAGUGCCACAUUAUUGGAAUAAAUACAAAACCUUUAAGAACCGGAUCAACACUUAUAGGCAACAUCGAAAAUAAUCCAGCUACCUGGUAAGUCGGUGGCCGUAAGAAGAACAGGCGUCGGAAGCCUAAAUUGCUGAGACUACAGUUCCUGUGAAUCCCCUUCUAUCUACAGAAAUUCCUUCCAACAACAAAAUAGCAGUCUUUACCAGAAAGCGGUCCCAGAAAAGAUGCCGACUCUUGCUAAAACUGUCCUGUGCGAGCAGAAGCGACCAGUGCUUUUUGGAAGUCUUGAUACGCACAACAGGCAACUUACGGCAAUGCAAUCCGCAUGGAGUCAGUCCGGAAAAUGAUGCGCAACAAAACGAUGUUGGUGAAACGCGAAGCUAUAAUCAACUCGGGACUGCAAUCAUCUAUUAUUUUUAAUAAUGGAAAAAAACGUUUGUGAGAUAGCUUAAGGUUUGAUUAUAAAAAUAAAUAAAUAAAUAAAUUUGGUAUAAACGUUCAA
rnacentral:lncRNA from 1 species